rnacentral:lncRNA from 1 species
CAGGCCUGCAAUUUCUUAGACUAUUGAAUGGCCCUGGAGUCAGAUUGCUUGGGGUCAAAGGCCACUUUUACCACCUGCUGUGUGACCUUCAGCCCUUGAGCAAGUUAUUUAACUUCUCUGUGCCUCAGGGAGCUCAUAACAGCACUAUACUGUGGGGUGGUGCCAGAUCUGUCUCAUAGACCCUGGCCAACGGAUGAAAUGAGUUCUCAGACACAGGCAUACAGCAUAAGAGCAGCUGGGUGACUGCCUGGCUCAAGUGGCCAGAGAGCAGCCCCAAGAAGCUGGAGCUGCUUGCUUUUAUUCAGUGCAGGCACAAUGUGGAAAACCUGGAGCCGACACGACCUGCAGGUAACUGACAAUUACUGUGGCCAGGCACGGUGGCUCACGCCUCUAAUCCCAGCACUUUGGAAGGCUGAGGCAGGAGAAUUGCUUGAAUCCUGCCGGGGUAGAGGUUGCAGUGAGCAGAGACAGUGAUAC